rnacentral:sRNA from 1 species
AUUUAGCCCUGAUGGGAGCGGUAUCCUUUUUUUGGUUUUCUUUAACCGGAAAAAGAUAUAGCGAACAGCAGGACAGAAA